rnacentral:rRNA from 1 species
UACGUAGGGUCCGAGCGUUGUCCGGAAUUAUUGGGCGUAAAGGGCUCGUAGGCGGUCUGUCACGUCGGGAGUGAAAACACGGGGCUUAACCCCGUGCCUGCUUCCGAUACGGGCAGACUAGAGGUAUGCAGGGGAGAACGGAAUUCCUGGUGUAGCGGUGAAAUGCGCAGAUAUCAGGAGGAACACCGGUGGCGAAGGCGGUUCUCUGGGCAUUACCUGACGCUGAGGAGCGAAAGUGUGGGGAGCGAACAGG